AUCGUCGCCCCCCAAAAUCCCGAUAUCUCGCAAGACACAAUCGGGAAUAGGAUGGGCGGAAAAUGGUCUCCCGUGCGCUCCCGUUCGCGGUUGGCCCAAAAAUGAGUUCCUGGCAAAGCAAAGCCACGACCAGCGGUGGUUGUAAGACCCUCGGUACAAGUCGUGAGCCUUGCAUUGCUCGUAGGGACAUGUUGACCCUGAACGUGAUCGAGUAACAUCGGUACACUCACA
rnacentral:misc_RNA from 1 species